GGAAAAGAAACCAACAGGGAUUGCCCUAGUAACGGCGAGUGAAGCGGCAACAGCUCAAAUUUGAAAUCUGGCUCUCGGGCCCGAGUUGUAAUUUGUAGAGGAUACUUUUGAUGCGGUGCCUUCCGAGUUCCCUGGAACGGGACGCCAUAGAGGGUGAGAGCCCCGUCUGGUUGGAUGCCAAAUCUCUGUAAAGUUCCUUCAACGAGUCGAGUAGUUUGGGAAUGCUGCUCUAAAUGGGAGGUAUAUGUCUUCUAAAGCUAAAUACCGGCCAGAGACCGAUAGCGCACAAGUAGAGUGAUCGAAAGAUGAAAAGCACUUUGAAAAGAGAGUUAAAAAGUACGUGAAAUUGUUGAAAGGGAAGCGUUUAUGACCAGACUUGGGCUUGGUUAAUCAUCUGGGGUUCUCCCCAGUGCACUUUUCCAGUCCAGGCCAGCAUCAGUUUUCCCCGGGGGAUAAAGGCGGCGGGAAUGUGGCUCUCUUCGGGGAGUGUUAUAGCCCACCGUGUAAUACCCUGGGGGGGACUGAGGUUCGCGCAUCUGCAAGGAUGCUGGCGUAAUGGUCAUCAACGACCCGUCUUGAAACACGGACCAAGGAGUCGUCUUCGUAUGCGAGUGUUCGGGUGUCAAACCCCUACGCGUAAUGAAAGUGAACGCAGGUGAGAGCUUCGGCGCAUCAUCGACCGAUCCUGAUGUUCUCGGAUGGAUUUGAGUAAGAGCAUACGGGGCCGGACCCGAAAGAAGGUGAACUAUGCCUGUAUAGGGUGAAGCCAGAGGAAACUCUGGUGGAGGCUCGCAGCGGUUCUGACGUGCAAAUCGAUCG
rnacentral:rRNA from 1 species